rnacentral:rRNA from 1 species
GACGAACGCUGGCGGCGUGCUUAACACAUGCAAGUCGAACGGAAAGGCCCUGCUUUUGUGGGGUGCUCGAGUGGCGAACGGGUGAGUAACACGUGAGUAACCUGCCCUUGACUUUGGGAUAACUUCAGGAAACUGGGGCUAAUACCGGAUAGGAGCUCCUGCUCCAUGGUGGGGGUUGGAAAGUUUCGGCGGUUGGGGAUGGACUCGCGGCUUAUCAGCUGGUUGGUGGGGUAGUGGCUUACCAAGGCUUUGACGGGUAGCCGGCCUGAGAGGGUGACCGGCGACAUUGGGACUGAGGUACGGACCAGACUCGUACGGGAGACAGCAGGGGGGAAUAUUGCACAAUGGGCGGAAGCCUGAUGCAGCAACGCUGCGUGCGGGAUGACGGCCUUCGGGUUGUAAAACGCUUUCGCCUGUGACGAAGCGUGAGUGACGGUAAUGGGUGAAGAAGCACCGGCUAACUACGUG